GAUGAACGCUGGCGGCGUGCCUAAUACAUGCAAGUCGAGCGAACAGACGAGGAGCUUGCUCCUCUGACGUUAGCGGCGGACGGGUGAGUAACACGUGGAUAACCUACCUAUAAGACUGGGAUAACUUCGGGAAACCGGAGCUAAUACCGGAUAAUAUAUUGAACCGCAUGGUUCAAUAGUGAAAGACGGUUUUGCUGUCACUUAUAGAUGGAUCCGCGCCGCAUUAGCUAGUUGGUAAGGUAACGGCUUACCAAGGCAACGAUGCGUAGCCGACCUGAGAGGGUGAUCGGCCACACUGGAACUGAGACACGGUCCAGACUCCUACGGGAGGCAGCAGUAGGGAAUCUUCCGCAAUGGGCGAAAGCUUGACGGAGCAACGCCGCGUGAGUGAUGAAGGCCUUCGGAUCGUGAAACUCUGUUAUUAGGGAAGAACAAAUGUGUAAGUAACUAUGCACGUCUUGACGGUACCUAAUCAGAAAGCCACGGCUAACUACGUG
rnacentral:rRNA from 1 species